rnacentral:snRNA from 1 species
GGAUAUGAGGGCAAUCUGGCUAUGAUAUCUGUCACCCCAUGAUAACUAGGGUUGAUUCAGCUGACCUGGUUGAGUAGGCAGGUGUCCCCUUCCUUCACUCUUCCAGGUGUGUCCCUCCCAAAGCUGUGUGCUUGAUCAGAGCAGCAACUUUCUACAAUAGAGGAGGACCAUUCUUUGGUCAGAGAUAAAUGAUUAGCCUAUAUUCCCCUGCUAGAAUCUCCAACAAACUUUUUAUUUUUUAUUUUUUAUUUUUUUUUAAGAUUUUUAUUUUAUUUGUUCAUGAGAGAGAGAGACAGACAGACAGAGAGAGAGACAGAGACCCAGGCAGAGUUCGGAGAAGCAGGCUCCACGCAGGGAGCCUGACAUGGGACUCGAUCCU